AUACGUAGGGGGCAAGCGUUGUCCGGAAUGAUUGGGCGUAAAGGGCGCGUAGGCGGCCUGGUAAGUUUGGAGUGAAAGUCCUGCUUUUAAGGUGGGAAUUGCUUUGAAAACUGCUGGGCUUGAGUGCAGGAGAGGUAAGUGGAAUUCCCGGUGUAGCGGUGAAAUGCGUAGAGAUCGGGAGGAACACCAGUGGCGAAGGCGACUUACUGGACUGUUACUGACGCUGAGGCGCGAAAGUGUGGGGAGCGAACAGGAUUAGAUACCCUGGUAGUCCACACUGUAAACGAUGAAUGCUAGGUGUAGGGGGUAUCGACCCCUUCUGUGCCGGAGUAAACACAAUAAGCAUUCCGCCUGGGGAGUACGGCCGCAAGGUUGAAACUCAAAGGAAUUGACGGGG
rnacentral:rRNA from 1 species